GCCCUGAGCCGAAGGCAGACGCUUAACCGCUGUGCCACCCAGGAGCUUCUGUUGCUGACAGUCCCUGAAGGUUGCUACGGUGGAUGGCAAGUAUCACAGCAAAGAAAGAAAAGAGUGUGAGGAAGAAAUUAUUCAAAAGAAAUAUGUAUUCUUCCUCAAAUGGGGACAAGAUAGAUGUGAAAAAGAAAACGACAUACGUUUGAGUGGAUACAUCCAAAGCUGAAGAAAGGCUAUGUCCACGUCUAGGAAGAAUCAAGAACAAAUACACCAGUCACAGUUUUUGUUCACACUUCUAUGUGUAGUGUAUGUGGAUCCCUGCGCCCCACUGACAGUUAUCAUCAUGUGAUAUGAUUGAUAGGACCUGUGUUCUUUGUGCUGAAAACUAGGAGACCAUCUGUGAAGCAAAGAGAGAGAUAACAGCCCACGAGAGAGGGAACACAAGCAGGGGGAGCAGGAGAGG